rnacentral:rRNA from 1 species
CUACGGGGGGCAGCAGUAAGGAAUAUUGCGCAAUGGAGGCAACUCUGACGCAGCCAUGCCGCGUGCAGGAAGAAGGCCUUAUGGGUCGUAAACUGCUUUUAUUUAGGAAUAAACCCCCGAACGUGUUCGGGGCUGAAGGUACUAAACGAAUAAGCACCGGCUAACUCCGUGCCAGCAGCCGCGGUAAUACGGAGGGUGCAAGCGUUAUCCGGAUGUAUUGGGUUUAAAGGGUGCGCAGGCGGGCUAUUAAGUCAGUGGUGAAAUCCUGGGGCUCAACUCCGGAACUGCCAUUGAUACUGAUAGUCUUGAGUUUGGUUGAAGUGGGCGGAAUGUAGCAUGUAGCGGUGAAAUGCAUAGAUAUGCUACAGAACACCAAUCGCGAAGGCAGCUCACUAAGCCAAAACUGACGCUCAUGCACGAAAGCGUGGGGAUCAAACAGGAUUAGAUACCCCGGUAGUC